AGCGAACGCUGGCGGCAGGCCUAACACAUGCAAGUCGAACGAACUCUUCGGAGUUAGUGGCGGACGGGUGAGUAACACGUGGGAACGUGCCUUUUGGUUCGGAAUAACUCAGGGAAACUUGUGCUAAUACCGAAUGUGCCCUUCGGGGGAAAGAUUUAUCGCCAUUAGAGCGGCCCGCGUCUGAUUAGCUAGUUGGUGAGGUAACGGCUCACCAAGGCGACGAUCAGUAGCUGGUCUGAGAGGAUGACCAGCCACACUGGGACUGAGACACGGCCCAGACUCCUACGGGAGGCAGCAGUGGGGAAUCUUGCGCAAUGGGCGAAAGCCUGACGCAGCCAUGCCGCGUGAAUGAUGAAGGUCUUAGGAUUGUAAAAUUCUUUAACCGGGGACGAUAAUGACGGUACCCGGAGAAGAAGCCCCGGCUAACUUCGUG
rnacentral:rRNA from 1 species